UGCUUGAUUUAGUCUUGAUUUUUUUUUUUUUAGCAAUUUCUGUGAAUUUAUAUAAACAAAUCCCAAGUUCUUGUGAUUUCCAUCUUGUCUCAUAAUUUACUGUUGUCCCUUUUAGGUUAGAUCCUUGCCAGAAGCUUCCUUCCUCCUUUCCUUUAUUUCCUGUAUUCUUUAUUGGCACAGACUGGUAGUGGUUUUCCAUAAUGGGAGCUGAAGAACUCCAUGUAAAUCCAAAUUUUUCCAUAUCUUUACUAGGAAGUAAUACACAGCUAAUAAGUCAUCUUAUAUUUCCCAUCAGCUGUACUGAGCUGGUGAUUUAGAUUAAUUCAGUUUAUUGUUUCAGCAGGUUUACAGGUUUGCAGAAUUCCAGAUUUCCACAGUGCUGGGGAUUGGUGAUGUUUGUGUGGAUUGGCCUGUUCCCUGGUGAUGGAGUGUGUCUAAUCAUCAUUUUCCAAUAUGCAAAAAUUAGGAGCAAAAGCAGCCCAAUGCCUCCACUCUGUGGUAAUUGAUGCUGGCUUUAUGGAUAAUAUUUUCUUUACUGAGGACCUUCUCGCUGAGCAAAUUUGACAAAUGAAAACACUUGCUGAGAUUUUUAUUUCUCUGGCAAUUUUCCGUGUUUUCUUCUACUAGCAAUAUCAUAUUUUUGUUUGUGAAAGGAAGAGUUAUUGUUUAUCCUCGUUAUUUGCCUCUUAGAGCUGAAGUAAAAAUAACUGAUAUUGAGGACACAUUAAAAUGGAAGCAGGUGGAAAAGAGCAGCUUCUAAAAAAAAAAGCCACGAUUAGAGAAAAUUUUACAAACUUGCUUGUGGAAAACUACAGCAAGUUACUCUAGAGGACAAAUGAUGAUUUAACUUGCUGGGAUAUUUGGCUUUUUCUAAAUCUUGCUGGACACAUUAAAGAUCUAAAGCAUGCUUUUAAGAAUUUCAUUUAUUUGUGUUCUCUGGUAAGCACCAAGUCCAGGCUGUGCUGGAAAUGUAGAGCAGGAGGCAGCUCAUUUUCCUGGGCAUAUUAAGCAGCUAAAGACAUAGGAUAUAUUGGAAAAACUGACACCCUCUGUUUUUCAAGCUCAAUUUCUGGAAGGUCACUCAGCCUCCAACCCUCCUAUUCUGUCAAUUUUUGGGAAGCAGGGUUCACAUGUGGCCCUUGGGAGAUAGGUGAGCAGAACCCACAGGAUUUAUUCUGUCCAUGGGUACUUUGGGAAAGGGAAAGAGCUGUGGUGUGCAGCUGAAAUUUGGAAUCUGGGGCAUCCUUGUUGUGGACCUGCUGCUUGUGAGGGGGUACAACCACAAGUAUCUCAUUUAUUCCUUCUGGAAAAAAAAAGAAUCAUCAAAGAGAAUUAUCCAUGGAACUUCCCAUGAUAAAGAGAAGAAAUGCAGUGACUGCCUUUGCAAGAUGACCUUCAGGACUUGCAGUAAUCAUUCAAUUCCACGUGGCAAAGGAAUAUUCAUAAUGAAAGAGCUGUCAUUCCUCCAAAUGGCAUUUAGGCAUUAAAUGAAACUGUGGAUUGUCUACAAUAACCAUGGAAUCCCAGAAUCCCUGAAUGGUUUGGGAUGGAAGGGACCUUAAGGGACCUUACAGCCCAUCCAGUGCCACCUCUGCUAUGGGCAGGGACACUUUUCACUGUCCUAGGUGGCUCCAAGCCCUGUCCAGUCCGGCCUUGGACACAGCCAGGUUCCCUCUUCUCUGCCUGGGCCACACAAACCAGCCUUGAAUCUGCCCCCCUGGAAUCUCCAGGGGGUUUUGCACAACUCUCACCCUUUCAGGAAUGCACAAAGCAACAAAUUGGAUUUGGGUUUUAAGGGUUUGGAAAAGAAAGGAGACAAAUAGACACAAAGCUUUUCAAGCAGGCACGUGGCUCAGUGCCACGCACGGAAAUGAGCUGGAAUUAAUCCCUUUUCUCUGCAAGUCUUGCAGGAAAGGUGCCUCCAGAUGCUCCUCACAGGGUAGGAAUUCAGGAUUUAUCGGCAGAUAAAUGGGGGAGAUGUGUUUGUACAAAAACCAGAUAACCUGAGAACUGGGAUAACCACACUACCCCAAAGGGAACGGCCAGGACAGUGUUUGAUUUUUUGUCAGAAGCUGAAGAAAAUGUCACUGUUAAAUUUUGAUGAGGAGAUGCACACCCACACCCCCACUUACAGCAUCAACUGAUGCUGAUGUCAUGAAAUGUGGAUGAAAAACAUGAUUUUUUUUAAAGUCCAAGCUGUCUGUCUGCUGAAAAAUCUGUUCUUAUUCAAUCUUCCUUUCUUUUUCUUUCUUGUUUGUUUAUGAAGUGUUUGAAAUGGUCAAGCCUGGAAAUAUCCAUCACUCUUUUUCUAUAAAUUAAAAACUUCAUUAAAUGGCUUUUAUUGAAAAUUUCAACUUGUUCUGACAGCAUUUAAAGUAAAUAUAAAGAUAAGCUUUUAAAUAAUUUUUAAAAUAAUUUCACUAGUGUAAAACAAAAUUUAUUUCUAACCUUAGAUUUUAAUCAUGCAAUGAAGAAAUAGUUUUAGUAACAACUUCAUACACUGGCUCAGGCUCUAAAACAUGAUUUAGGUGAGGUACAGCAGAACAGGGCAUCUUUAAUUGUCACUCUCUAACACUCUGUUAAGAAAAGUGUGAUUGAUGUCCUUUAAAUGUUUCGUAAUUUUUUCUUUAAAAGAAAAUAGAUUUAUUGGCAUUCACUGGGGCCCAAGUUCCUCCAUUAUGUGUGUCUAGAGCUACUUAGAAAUUUCAGAUGUAGUCACAUCUCUUUUACAUUCUCUUUUCUUUAACUUCAUUAAGCAGCCUUAAAGUCAUGGGAUCAGACCUGGUAUUACUGAUUUACGAUUAUCUUUUGAAUUCCUUCUGUAACCCCCACAUGAACCAAUCCACAGAAAAAGCAGCAUUUUGUUAAAGGCAAUUGAAAGGCAAAGUAAUUCCAUAUUUCUUCUUUUCAUGCUUUACUUUUUGAAAUCCCAUUGAAAUAUUAUUGCCAGUAUUUUUAACCUUCUCUGUGCUUUAAAACAAUUUAGGAAGAAAGUCUAAUUAAAGCAGUAGCUGCUAGUGAUAAGAAAGAGAAAAGAAAGGAUGACAACAAUUGUUCUGUACUGUUAAUAAAGCAUAAUGCAGGAAUCCCUGUGAGGGUGGGCAGGCUCAGAGAAGCUGUGGCUGCCCCUGGAUCCCUGGAAGUGUCCAAAGCCAGGUUGGAUGAUGCUUGGAGCAACCUGGGCUAGUGGAAGUUGUCCCUGCCCAUGGCAGAGGGUGGAAUUAAAAGAUUUAAGGUCCUUUCCAACUCAGGCUGUUCUACAAUUCCUCUUUUGUUCCUAUUAAUUAUAAUGAAGUAAAUUUCUAUUUAAGUGAAAUUACCUUUUCAAGUGUUUUUUUUAUUUUUUUAGUACUUUUUUUUUUAAUCUCAAGGGACUUCAUAAGAAGCAAAACAACCUCCUUAGGAUCUGUAAACUGGCACAGACUGGAGGAUUUAACAUUUAGCUUUGGAAGGAUUGCUUGUGAAGGUGAUGUGCAUGAAGCAGGUGUCUCUUCCUGUGCUGUGAGCAGUGGGAUGGCUCUGGAGUCAAAGCAGGAAGGAUGUUAAAAGCUGUGGGGGUAUUUGUUGAUAAAUUUGAAGGAGUUGCAGUUGGCUGAACUGCUUCCCUCCCCCACAUCCUUCACUGCAAAUUCAGUGCUGAGUGACUCUCCCACCCACUACCUGUCAAAAACACUCUGAGUGCUUGGCUUGAAAAACAUAAUGUCUGAAUUUUCUGUUGUAGCUGUUGCCAGGUUGUCUAAACUCACACAGCACCAAAUUUUCUCCAAGCUCUAAAGGUAGAGCUUGUGUUAGAAAAUUACUUUCCCCAGAUUAGCGAGGUUAUUGCAAAAAAUUGAAAAAAAAUAAUUUAAAAAGCUCAGUGACUAAUGCUUCUAUUAGGCAAAUACACAAGGCAAAGAAUGUCUUACGUUUGUGUGCUUUGUUGGAAAUUCCAAAAGUGAUGGCUCUCCUGGGGCCUGUAUAAUUCAUACAGCACUUUAACCUGUGAUUAAUUACAAAGUCAGCAGAAGCUUUGCUCCUUCCCACUUGUGCUUUCAUCAACACUGAAAAUCCUAAAGUAAAUCUGGGCUAGGCUCUGAGAGGCUCAAAUGACUUGCUAGGCUGAUUAAAAACCAACCAUCCUGCCCAGCCUUGGAACUGCACUGGGAAAAACCUCUGGGAAGGAAACAUCCACCAGACACCAACGCUGGAGAGAGCAGCUUUGGUGUUGUGAGGGGAAAAGUGACAGUGAAAGAGCAAAAAAAGGGUUCUGCACAAGUGCAAAGCUGUGUGGGAGAACAGGUAGGACUUUGGGAUUUAGGAAUAGUGACUUUUAUGGGGAUUUGUGAGUCUCUGGUGUGCUCUGGAGGUGGAGAGAGGAAAAUGGUGAUAAUGCCAUGGGAGCUGAACCACUGCAGGGUGAAUCACAAACUGGGGAGUUUGGCCAUGCAAAAAAAGCCUCUUGGCUGAUGCAGUUUGAAGUGCACAUCUUCCUGGAUGAAGGUGAAUGAUCUCUGAGCAGGAGGUUGCUCUCACUGUAGCCUAGAAAGAAAUGUUCCACAGAAAACCCAACAUAAUGGUGUCAACUUCUCCCCCCAUGACUACUCUGCUGUUUUUUGUGUUUAUUUGUGUUCCAGGCUCUCAAAAAGCUUCAAGCUUAUGAGAAUAAGGUGAGAUCAAAAGGUAAGACAAAGAGGGGAGGAAUAAGAUUUCGUUCUGGAUUUUUGUUUGGUUUGAGCCACUUUUGUUCUUUGUCCACCUGUUUCAGCCAGAAGCUGGGUGAGCCUUGCAUGGGGAAUGGUUUCCUGCAGGUCACUGCUCCCUGCCUGGGCUCUGCUGUGGCUGUGGCUCAGGAGCAGAAGAGAAAGGAAGUGGGAACACAAGAUCCAUCUUCUUUUUUUGGAAAUGCAGGAGGAGAGGCAGCAGCUGGAGCUGAGCAGGGGAAGGGCAGAGCUGUAAUCAAGAUGCUCAUUUUUCGGCAAGCCCCAGAUGCAGAUCAAGAAAUGCAAAGUUUGUGCUGACGAGGAGACAAGGGCCUCAGUUCUCAUCCAGCAGAGGGAGGAAGUUGCUGCUGGAGGGUUCCUGUUUUUUCCAGGCACUGAUUCCUUGGAAGACAUCCAGAGAGAAGGGAAAGGCCAACGUCCUUGCAUUGACAACUCUUCUCUCAGAUGGUUGAAGGGGGGCUUUAAAUAAGAUUACUCUGCUUAAUUAUGAUUUUGUAAUGUUCUUUUAAUUGAAGACUUGGAGUUCUGCAGCAUCGCCAUCAGAAAAGCCAUUGGAUUUGGGAUAAAGCUCUUGGGCCAACAAUCCCAGUCUGUGCCACGUACAGGGGCCUUGGCAGUUCAUCCCAGUGAGUCAGAAAAUUAUUAAAGUUGAGAAAGACCUCAAGACCUUCAAGUCUAACCUCUGCCCAAAUCCCCCACGCCCCCAGUACCCUGCAGCACUAAAUGACAUUUCCACACAAUUUAUGGGCACUUCCAGGGAUGGAGACUCCACCACAACCCUUUGAGAGAAAAAAUGGCUUUUUGUUUGUUUGUUUCAAGAACUCUCAAAGCCCUCCUGUUGACUUCAUUUGCAUCAGGACAGCAAAGGGAAGCAGAAGAAGGACCCAGCAGUGUGAGGUACCAAAAAAAGCAUCUCUUGGUCCCUCUCUGCUAUGGUAGUGCCCUCUUUUGGGUUGACAGAGGGGGUUUUGGAGGUGAGGAAAGACAACUGCCAGCAGGAAAUGGCACAUCCUUGUGCAUCCCUGAGCCUGCAGGCUCCUGAUAAUUUGAAGGCACACUGGCAGUGAUGGUGUCCUCUUUCUGUCUGCACAGCUCAGCAGAAUCCCUGUCACUUGAGGCAACUGUGAAAAAUCUAUAACCAGACAGCCCAGGUUUCUCAUUCUCAUAAGAGUUGGGACACCUCUGGAAAAUGAUCAUAGUAAAAGCAUAAUAAUUAUGGUUGACUUGCUCUUUACAAUUAGGAAAUUUUGUCAUGCAGGGAUUGCUGCUUAGCAUGACAAAAAGUCAGACAAAUACAGAGCAGAGCUGUGACAGGAAAACAGCAAAAGUGGUAAGAAAUGAGAGGGAAAGCAGGGCUUUGUUAGGAUUGGGACAGCAAGGGGAGUGAUAAGAAAAUCCAUUGUGUGUUUUCCAUCCUGCUGGAAAUCAGUGCAGUUUAGGCAGCGUGGUUGUGCUGCAGGGCUGGCAGGGAGAGGGAGGCAAUCUGAUAAAUGAAAUGAUGCAUAAUUCAGUGCUGCAAGGGCAGUGUAGGAAAACAGUAUCAUCUCCAGACAAAUUAAUCUGUCUUAGGUUUAUGACUGUCUCAAGGCCGUUUGUUUCAUUGUCAGUUCAGUCACAGGUAGAGAUGUGAUUAUUAUUUCAAAUGGAAAGUUCUUUUCCAACAGCCAUUUUUGAAAACUGCUGUCUCAGAGCAGAGUCCCUUCCCUGAAGUAAUGCUUUCAUUUGGAAGUACAAUAGCAACUGUCAGUUUUGCUUCCUUUUGUUUUAUUUCCAUCAUCUGUGUGUUAUCAUUUCAGGAAGGAAAUGUGUCUGUGAGCAACCAGUGCCAGAUGUCUGAACUUUCACUUGUCAUUUGAGGUGCUGGCACCACCACUCACCCACCCCAGUCGCAACCAGCUGCAGGAGCUUGGCUCUACUCACAGACUGCAACAAAUUCAUAAAACACAGGGGGAAAGGAAUAUUAUGGCACUUUGCAGGAGACUGGAGCUUGGAGAGGUUUGGUCCACUGCCCACAAAGGUCUCAGGGAUCUGUUGGAGACCCUUGUGCAGCUCUAGAAGUAUCUGUCUGCACACUGUGAUUAAAGUCACUCAGCAAGGGCUGGUGCAGCUGGGACUGGAGGAUUGAGCUCCAUGGACUGGCCUGAAACCCCUGAAUUUGUGAUAUCCCAUCUUAGGCAGCACUGAGGUUGACUCUAGAUGUCACUAGAAUGGAUUAAUGCAAAAUAAUGAGCUUAAUAUAUUUUAAAUUAUAAUGUGUAUAAUUAUUAUACAUAAUGUAAUGUAAUACUCUAUAAUAGAUGUUAAAUAUAAUAUAUGAUAACACAAUUAUAAACCUCAAGUACCUAUUCAGCUUCUGGAGUGAUUUCAGUUUUCUCCUUUUAUAGAAUCAUAGAAUGACAGAACAGUUUGGGUUGAAGGGUUCAAUCUCAUCCAGUCCCACCCCUGCUAUGGGCACAGACACCUUCCACUAUGCCAGGGUGCUCCAAGCCCUGUCCAUCCUGGCCUUGGACACUUUCAGGGAUCCAGGGACAGCCAGGAUGGGAGGUAUUUCCCCAAAUAUAACUCUGAUCUCUUAUUUUCCUUCAAGAUAUGUUUUCUUUCCUGGACAUGACCAACCUGCAAUGAACAGGGCACUGAACUCUGCCCAGCCUGCAGCCUGUGACCUUUCCAGGUGAAUGCAACUUGCAGAAAGAGUGUGAACAAGCUGCAUCCAGGGGGAGAUGGAGGUGGAAAAAAGAGUUGUUUCAGCUUUGGCAUUAGGGAUUUCAUGUCUGGAAAUGGAAGGUGCAGCAGCUUUUGUUCUCUUCAGGACUAGAUAUGCCGGGAGCAUGUCUGUGGCUCUUAUCCCUCAGGCUAUCUGCCAAAAUUACAGAUAUUUCCUGUGCUGUGGUGACACACUGAACAUCCCCACACCUCAUUCAUGUCUCAUUGUUCACAAACAGGGUCAUGGCUUUAACAUCCAGGGACAGAAAAGUGUCCUUUUGAAUUAGGCCAGCCCUUGCUCUGUGGUUUUUAUCGAGUUCCUUGCCCAUUACAAGAGGGUUUUUCUGGAAACAAUAGAAGGCAGCAGAUAAGGGAGCAGGCUACAACAGAUAGGAGCACUUAGUUUCUGUCAGUAGACAAGCAGCUUCUUCCUCCCUGAUAUAAUGCCUAAAAGAGGAGAACACAAGCACAUUUUCAUUCACCAAGUUUCUUCAGUGCUGGAGCUGAUAAAAUCUGAAACAUUCAUCCUGAGCCGGUGGCAAUGGGAGAGGAGAAGGGACUCUUCCUCAGUGGGUAGGAAAGGGAAGAGGAAAAAAUUCUGACAUUGCCCAGUGAGAAGCAAACAGGAUAGAAUUUGGGGAAGAAAGGUCUUGGGAGCAAUGCUGUGAUUACCAUUUCAACAAUUCCAGACUGGUUUGGAUUGGAAGAAUCCUUAAAGCCCAUCCAGUGCCACCCCUGCCAUGGGCAGGGACAACUUCCACUAGCCCAGGUUGCCCCAACCAACACUUCCAGUAGCCACAGCUUCUCUGGGCACCCUGUGCCAGGGCCUGCCCACCCUCACAGGGAAGGGAAGAGGGGUAGGAAUGUUCUCAAAUUUUCCUUUACUUUUUUUUUUUUUUUUUUUUUUUUAAUUAUAUAUACUUGUCUCAUCUUUCUGGAAAAUCUGCUAUAGGAAAUAAGCAAGUUUAAACAGCCAAAUCAGUGUGUGUAGGUCUGAAAUUAUCUAUUUAAUUAGGUUUUAUGCUUUGAAUCUGCAAAUGUUGGUAUUAAUUUAUACUUAAUUUUACAGAGCUGCCAGCAAAAUAUGCUGUGAAUGAAGCAAUAGCCUGUGUUGCUCACUUAUUUCAGAUUGGAUAUUUCAGAGAGUGUUUUAGGGCCCAGCUGAGGUUUAUGGAAGGUUUGGGAGGAGAAACAACACCACAAUUCCAGACUGGUGCAGGUGGAGAAAAUUUCCUCUCUCAGUAGUGGCUCAUGGCUCUUUUCCCAGUGAAAACUGUAGUUAAAAGUAUUGGUUGAAACAUUUCUAAAGCCAGUGGAUUUUUCUUUACAGAUUAUUUCACGCUAGUAAUCAAUGAUUAUGGCGUGUGUUCCAUCUGCUUUCAUGUUAUCUUUUACAAACCCAUAAAAAGAGAGAUUUCCAGAAAAACAAUAUUAUUAAAAAAAAUUGCUUGGUUUCUCAUCAUAAUAUAUUUAUUUGAAGGAGCUGAAAUUCUCUCAUAAUCAUAACAAACCAAAAUUGCUCUUUGUGUGGCCAUCAGGACUGAGUCUAUGUUUCUAAAGGUUUCAUUUCUGAGGGCCUUGGAAAUCAGACUUUGUUCUUUGUGCACUGAAAUAUAAACAAAUACUGUGUAUCAGUUUUUAACUUUUAUUUGUUUCACAGGAUAAAGCUCAUAAAAAUAUCUCUUACUCCACUUGCUAAUAUCCAAAGUAGGUGAAGAAACCUUAAGACAGAGCACAUAAACACAGCAGAAAUGUAAAUGAAAGAAUUCUGGGAACAAGUGCUGCCUGAAGACAGCCCCACCACACAGUGAUAUAUAUUUCCUCAAAAAUAACUUGAAGAUCUUCUUCUCUGCCUCCUGCACAUUAUAAAACACUCAGGGAAAUAUAGAUGAAGUCCUGGGAUGCAUUUAGAUCAUUAUUUGCAGUGACAACAAUGCAAUUCUCUGAACAGUGUGCAUGUCAUAUAUACAGAGGCAGUGGAAUAAAUAAGGCAUCUAUUGCAUUAGGAAAAAAAAAACCUGCAUGUCAUUAUUCAGGGGCUUGGGAGAAUAAUGGGGACAGGGAGAAAUCCCCUCAAAGAGAUUAUGAGAGCAAUUGAAUUGAUUGAUUGAAGUGAGCUGACGCUGUGGAUAGUUGGUGAAGAUACAGUGAAUAAUUGCAGGCAAUAAUUUUGUUUUCUGCAAUGCAAUAUAGUGUUAUACAAGUGUAUCAACAAUGGGGUAAACAAAUCUUGAUAAGCCACUCUCUCAGUGAAGUGCCACUGUCAGGGCAAAGUCUCUGCUUGGUACAGGGCUCACAGAAACACUGAAUAGUCCUUUUGAAAUCUGAGGAGUCCUGGAAUCAUCCAGUGCCACUGCCACGGGCAGGGACACCUUCCACUAGCCCAGGCUGCCCCAAGCCCCAUCCAGCCUGGCCUUGGACACUUGCAUGGAUCCACAGUUUAACUGCAGAGCCUGAGAAGGUGAUGCCAUUUCCAAGAACCUGCUGCUGGCUGGGUUUGUUUUCUCUCCUAAAGACAUUGUGGUGUAACAACAAACUCCGGUGAUCACAGAGCCAAGCUCAUGGCAUCAGGGUGUGCCUGGCUCAGCAGAGGAGUGACAAGGCCAAAUCUCACUGCACUGACCACUCCUGUUGUCCCUUAUCAGCUGUGGGAGAGACAGGAAUGGAAAGCUGGAAUUUUUAGGUUGGAAUCAGAAUUUUAUGUCCAUUUUAAAUUAGAGAACGGCUGGGAAAGCAGGAAGCAAAGUCAUUCAAAAGGAUACAACUGCCAUGCUUCGAGGUCAUUAGGUCUGUGCUAAUCAUUAGGGCUAAGGUUCAUUAGACAGCACUAACGAUGAUCAGUGAGCCAAGGAGAAGAAUGUUCUUUAGAUUGCACUGAGGACUGGAUUAAGGACUGAUCCACCCCAAAAAUCUGUACCUACAACAUUUGGGCCACUUGGACUCUUCCACCUACAGCACUUCUGGUGGUUCUGCCAAAGUCUGCAGCACCAACAGCCUGGGACCAGCCAAGUUUCAUGGCACAAACCAGAGCAAACAAACCCCCAACUCAAGGGCAGUCAAAAACCAUUCGGCAUCAAACUUUACCAGCAGCAAUUUGUCGAGUUCCAUGUCUGUCAUGCUGGAAACAGCUUGCUCUGAUUGAAUUAAUUUUUUGGGGAUGUGAUUAGGAGCCACUGACAUGAAAUCAAGUGUGAUAAAUAUCAGUAAUUGAAUGUUGGAUCAGUUUUUCCCAGGAUGGCUUAAUUCCAUUCACCCUGACUUGAAGACCUCAGCCUUAAUAUUGUUUUGUCUGUGUUUCUUUUUAAAUUGUGUUUUCACCAAUCCUGAUAUUUAAAAAAAAAAAAAAAAAAACCUUUGUAAUAAAGUGCCUCAGAAAUCCUGGCUGCUUUACAGUAUUUGUCUGGCCUACUUUGGAGAUUAGUUUAAUUUAGGUGAUAUUUGAUUUUCCUGCUGCUGGUGGUGUGAUUUUUUGUUUUUCUUCAGUUUCUUUUUUUUUUUUUUUCCUGCUUCUUGUGGAGAUUAGCUUUCUAUAAACAUGUUAUCCAUAACAUAAAUCAAAGAAGCUGGAAAUAGUAAUAUAGUAUGGUCAUGUAUAUUCAUGGUUGUUUGAUGAAGGAAAGAUAUUAACAUAUUUCUAGAUUCUCUGUCAUUCCCUUCUUUUUUUUUUCUGUAAAAAAGAGAAAGAAGGAAAAUAUUCUGGUAAAUUCACCUAUUUAGGAGAGUAAAAUUAUCAAAACACGUAGGGCAAGAAGUCUCCUUUUCUCUCUAAUUUGAUGAUUUGUAAAUUAGUGAGAAAAAAGCUGGGGUUUUUUGGUUCUGUUGAUCAACAGUGAAGCAGAUUUUACUUUUGCAAUUAAGUGCAGUUUUUCCUUGUCCCCCUUUUCAUGGAGAAUUUAAGAGCUUUGGAAAU